rnacentral:rRNA from 1 species
GACGAACCGUGCGAACGUUGUUCGGAAUCACUGGGCUUAAAGGGCGCGUAGGCGGGGGGCUAAGUCUGGGGUGAAAGCCCGCGGCUCAACCGCGGAAGGGCCUCGGAUACUGGCCCCCUCGAGGGAGGUAGGGGCGUGUGGAACUUCCGGUGGAGCGGUGAAAUGCGUAGAGAUCGGAAGGAACGCCGGUGGCGAAAGCGACGUGCUGGACCUCUUCUGACGCUGAUGCGCGAAAGCUAGGGGAGCAAACGGG